UGCCUUCUGCUUAAAUAUAGAAGGUAAAACCUGCCCAGUGAUUUACGAAUUAAACGGCCGCGGUACCCUGACCGUGCUAAGGUAGCAUAUAAUACGCCCUUUAAUUGUGGGCUUGUAUGAACGGAUAAACGAGAGUAAAGCUGUCUCUAAAAUACAAAACAAAAUUGCCCUUUAGGUGAAGAGGCCUAAAUACUAUUAAAAGACAAAAAGACCCUGUAGAGCUUCAUCAAUUCAACCUAAAAAAGAAAUAUCUAUAUAUUACUCCUUAUAUAUAACUUGAUUUAGCUGGGGCGGUUAGAGAGCAAUAUAACCCUCUCUUUUUUAUAAAGGACACAAACCUAUUUUUGAUCCUAUCUAGAACAAAGAAAUAAGCUACCUCAGGGAUAACAGGCUUAUUUCUCCUGAGAGCACCCAUCGAAGGAGAAGUUUGGCACCUCGAUGUUGGCUUAGGAAACCCUAAAGAUAGUAGAA
rnacentral:rRNA from 1 species